CCAAAUAUGGCGGAAUAGGUAGACGCGUUAGUCUUAGAAACUAAUUUUGUUAACCAAAGUAAGGGUUCAAGUCCCUUUAUUUGCA
rnacentral:tRNA from 1 species